AACGAACGCUGGCGGCGUGCCUAACACAUGCAAGUCGAGCGAGAAAAGGGGGGUAACUCCCUGAGUACAGCGGCGCACGGGUGAGUAACACGUAGGUAAUCUACCCUCGAGCCCGGAAUAACCUACCGAAAGGUGGGCUAAUACCGGAUAUGACCACGGGGAGCUUCGGCUUCUGCGGUGAAAGGUGGCCUCUGCUUGCAAGCUACUACUUGAGGAUGAGCCUGCGUGCCAUUAGCUAGUUGGUGAGGUAACGGCCCACCAAGGCGAUGAUGGCUAGCUGGUCUGAGAGGGAUGGCCAGCCACACUGGGACUGAACACGGCCCAGACUCCUACGGGAGGCAGCAGUGGGGGGAUAUUGCGCAAUGGGCGAAAGCCUGACGCAGCGACGCCGCGUGGGUGAUGAAGGCCUUCGGUC
rnacentral:rRNA from 1 species